AACGAACGCUGGCGGCAUGCCUAACACAUGCAAGUCGAACGAGACCUUCGGGUCUAGUGGCGCACGGGUGCGUAACGCGUGGGAACCUGCCUUUAGGUUCGGAAUAACUCAGAGAAAUUUUAGCUAAUACCGGAUGAUGUCUUCGGACCAAAGAUUUAUCGCCUUUAGAUGGGCCCGCGUUGGAUUAGCUAGUUGGUGGGGUAAAGGCCUACCAAGGCGACGAUCCAUAGCUGGUCUGAGAGGAUGAUCAGCCACACUGGGACUGAGACACGGCCCAGACUCCUACGGGAGGCAGCAGUGGGGAAUAUUGGACAAUGGGCGAAAGCCUGAUCCAGCAAUGCCGCGUGAGUGAUGAAGGCCUUAGGGUUGUAAAGCUCUUUUACCCGAGAUGAUAAUGACAGUAUCGGGAGAAUAAGCUCCGGCUAACUCCGUG
rnacentral:rRNA from 1 species